ACUGCCUUUCAGCACAGGCUGCCUUGUAUGUGUAGGGUAUCCUUUAUACAGAAAGCCCUUUUUCUUUUCAAGCUGAACCAAAGUUUCUCAGGUGAAGGAAGCUGCAAAGUCUGCGGAUUUCAAUGUACAAAAGUUAUUGUACCUCCAAUGUUGUUUCUGGGAGAAGACAUCCAGUGUUGCAUCUCUUUCAUUGACCUGUGACUUGAUGUGACAGAAGAACUCACAACAGAGGAUAUUUUCUGGAAUUUCAUGUCUGAGUGCCUCAGAAAUAGAACCUAAAAAAACCCAAAGAACAACUAGUGCUUCACUGCUAACAAGAAAGUGGAGAUGACUCACUGCUACUAAAGGU